UCCUCAUUAGCUCAGUUGGUAGAGCGUUCGGCUUUUAACCGAAACGUCCAGGGUUCGAGCCCCUGAUGAGGAG
rfam:Babjeviella inositovora NRRL Y-12698 unplaced genomic scaffold BABINscaffold_20, whole genome shotgun sequence.